rnacentral:lncRNA from 1 species
UCUCAUCACCACCAUGGCUCCAUUUGAGAUGUUCAAGACUCCAUUUCUAGCACGACUGCUGAAGCUGAAGCCGCUCCACUCCAAAUAGCCCAGUGACAUCAGAUUCUUCUUCAAUUUUGGGAUGUGCUUCACAUUUGUGAGAGUUUGCACCAUCCCAUCAAACAUCCUCACUCGAAUGCUCUCUAUACUAGCAAUCUUACAUGGGUGAUCAUCUCCGAUUGUCAUGGUCCCCUCAUCAAUCUUGAUGUAUGUGACGAACCA